rnacentral:lncRNA from 1 species
CGGCCGCGCGCCGCCCAGGGCGCUGGGUCUUGCCUCGGCCGCGGCCUCGCCAGGCCUCCAGGCGUCGGCGCGUGCGGCGUCGGCGUCGGCGGCGCGCACUCGCAGGUGGGCUUGGUGCGCAUGCUCGCGGGGGCGGGGCUAGCGGGGGCGCGCGCCGGUCGCGGGCCGGAGGCACGGGCUCCUGAGAGCUCUAAGAUGCGUCCGCGUCCCGGAAGGUCGGUCCCCCUGUGCACGCGCGGCGGCCUAUUAGGUAGAAGCUGACUGCAGGGAGGCCUCGAGGGCUGGCCAGCAGCCCAGGCCGCGUGAGUCUCCAGGCCCCUCCUUUCCUCUCUGGGCCGGAAUGGUGUGCCGGCCCGCUAUGCGGCCGGCCGGAGAGUGGCGCGGAGCUGAAGCCGCCGAGGCGUUGGAGGAGUCCAGACUCAUCCGGAAUCGGGCUGUUGAGGGACGGGAAAUCUAGAAGCUUCAGGACUGGAGGGAGUCCCUGAUCCCACUGGCCUUGACUUUGGACAAGGUUUUAAUUUGUUCUAGUCAACUAUUCAGCGAUUUUGAGCAAAAAAGAUUCUCUGGCCUUCAGCAUGAUAUUGGCUUGAUGUGGAAAGAUUAAGAUUCUAGGCUAAAGGGAAGAAGCCAUUAGAGAAGAAUACCCCGAGGUCCAUGAGGACAAUUUGUGAUCAAUGGUUACUCUUAUGCCUUGACUUGCUAUAUUAUGAAUCGAGGACCUCAAGUUCACAUAUUUUGGGGUGCUCCAGUUGCUGCACUGAAAAUGACAGUAUCCCAGGAAACAGCCUCCUUAAUGUCCACUGCCAACACCUGGGAAAAUGUCCAACUCUUUUUCAAACAGCGUUCUUUGUGUCUGAAGGCUGGAGAUCAGGAGUUUAAAAGUCUGGAAGACUGUCAAGUCCCCGAAGGUUUUGGCCCACCCGGUCUUCUUAGUGGUCACCUUUUAACGACUUAUGUGAAUAGGUCUGCUCAGGCGGAAGAAGACUUUAAACAUUCUGAGUCUGAAACACAGAAUGUAAAGUCCCAGAAGAUUAGCCUAAGUGAUAUGACUAGUGUAUGUCGACUUACGGACAGAGUUCAGCAUUUACCUGAAGAAGAAAAAUACCAAAAGCUUCCAUAUGAAAAUAAGAAAAUUAUAGAUGAGCAGUCUAAA